AGAAGGAGGUGGAGGAGGAGGAGAAUGAGAAGAAGGAGAUGAUGAGCGCCCCCUACAGGCCUUCAGUAGUACAGCCCGACAUGUGUCGUCACCAGUCUGCUCCCACCUGUCUCCUCAGCUUUUUGGAGGAGUGAUGCAGGUGUUGGAUGGACCGCUGCUGCUGGCUGCUGUAGACUACAUCAAGCUGCAGUUUCCUGUCCAUGCUGUUUGGAACCGCAUUGUUUCUUCCCAAAGUUAACUGUCAGCGACUGCUGCCUAACUGCUAACCAUUCAUAUUCUCACCGUAACCAGUCCAGAGGCCUGAACUACAAACAUUGUAUGUUCAACAUACCCAGGGUAUCUUCUAUCUGGCUUCACUAACCCUAACAACCGAGAUCCCGCUAGGUGGCCCUACAAAGGUGGUUAUCAACUCGAAUCGACUCCCUGACAGACAGACUCUCUCCAGCAAGGGUACGGUGUUGCUGACACAUGUUCCAGUCUGGGGGUCCACUGCCUCCACAAUGACGAAGGGCCUCUCCUCCAGCGUGGCCACCGUCAGAUGCCUGUAAUCGGACACCGGCUCAAGAUGAUUAGAUGGCCAACCUCUACUUUACUGGAGGAUUACAGCCAUGCGUAGCCUAUAGCGCCAACUUCUGUUUAUUCACUCCAAACCAGUUGAUGGAAACGCGCCUAAUUCACAUUUUCUUUUUUGAGACAUUUCAAUAGUUCACUUGACAAUUGAAUGGAAACACAUCUAUUGAUACGAGACCCAUCAUGACACCUGUAUGUGCUUGUUGAACAUGUUAUUCUUAAACCAUUGGCAUUAGUCUGCUGCUAUAACAGCCUCCACUCUUCUGGGAGGGCUUUUCACAAGAUUGUGGAACCUGGCUACAGAGAUUUGCUCUCAUUCAGCAGGAGAGUGUUAGUGAGGCUGAUGUUGAGGUCUGGAUGCUGGUAUGUGUUUCAGUUCAUCCUAAAGAGUGUUGAAUGGGGUUCAGGUCAGAAUCGAGGUCUUCCAUAUCAAAUUUGGAAAAACAUUUAUGUAGGGACCUGGCUUUGCAUGGUUGAAACAGGAAAGGGUCUUCACCAAACUGUUGACACAAAGUCUGAAGCAAACUGUCAAAAUAUCAUUCAAUCUAUAGAUAAAGAUUCCUCUUAAUUGGAAGUAAAAUGCCUUGAACCAAACAAUGGAAAGAGCUCCCUAAGUACACAAAAUAAUGGACAUUGGCGUCCACAUACUCAGGCAGAAACCUAAACCCAAGUAGGUCAGAGAAAUGUAUUGUAAAGUGACAAAAGUGACUUAUUGUAAUCUGUCAGCCCGUUCGCACGAAAUGGUGUAUGAAUGCCACUAUAAUGCGCAAGGUAUUUAGCAUGCAAUAAGAACGCCUUUCUUACGUUUUAUGUCAUUUGUCUUGUAAUCUGUACCGACUCCAAUGUAAGCGCUCCACGUAAAUAUGCUACGAUCAGAGCUAGUGACGUUGAAUACAAAGCGAGAAAGAUCGUUUACGGCGGGCGGGUGGGUCGGUGGUGGGAAGUGGAUGGGUUAUACAAACACACGACUUUUAACUAGGAGACUGAUGUUCGAGACCGAAGUUUUGUUUUGUAAGUUAGUGACAUUUGUCACGUGUUUUUUUGUGAUGCUUUUGUUACGUUGUUUCCGUACGUAUUUUGCUUAGUUUACGUACUUAUUUUAAGCCCAACCAUGACAUUUUUCCU